GACUAUUGGUCUCAUUUUCUUUUGGUCGUUUUGGCGUCUUCACUGUUUCCUGAUCUUUUCACACUCUGCUUCAUGCCAUCUUUACUCUUUCUUGCAAUUUCUUGGUCCAUGCUGCCCUGCUCACGUCACCGCAAACUGUUCACUACAGGACACCGUACUUUUGAGAGCGACGCCAGCUUCACUCCGCCUUUGCCGUUCUUCACCCUAAAACUGGCGGACGCCGCUUGGAAAACCCUGCGGCGUAUAAUCUGAGGCCCGGGCCAACCUUCUCUGGACCGGAUCACCAGGUGACUGUUGUCCACGAGAAAGGAUUAUGGUGAUAACACCCUGGAAAAUCUCCAUGGCUGAGGUGGUACUUCUGGAAGACACGGGCACCCUGCUGGCAUCUGGUUUCCGUCAUGUGCCGUAAUGCUCCCUUCAGCCCAGUUUCAAGAACCGCACAUCGAGAAGCGCUAUGGGUGUGACAAGGCUUAUAGCUGAGGCCGGACCCUCUCACAGAUCGACUGUCAUCUGUCUGAUGAAGCACAGUUGAUGGACAAACCCUUUUUUUUUUUUUUUUUUUUACUCCAAUUCUUGGAUCUCUGUUCAUGCAUCGCUGCAAAAAAUCAAGUGGGAGCUCCACAGAGACACAUCUUUUUUUCUGGCUUCCAACCCUGUUGUAACUGCUGGAUAGUCUGCUGUGCAACAGCCUGAAUACUCGCCCACUUAUGGGAAGAUGGAGGCAGGAGCUGAGGUUUGUCCAAAACAGCACCCCAGGAGGAAACCUGCGUCGCACGGCUUGGAGGACCAGAAAAGGCCUAAUCCUCUUUGGACUCAUGGUCAGAAGAUAACCUGGACUCGUACCAGCAUGACCUGGACACAAAGAACCAGACAGGACACAAAAAACCAGACGGGUGGCACUUCCUCACCUUAACACGGGGGACGCCGGCCUGAACACUAACAUGGUUUUUCUGGCAUUUGGCGUCUCCGAACAGUUGGAACAGGGAAACA